UGAAAGACACAGGUAGUGAGAU
rnacentral:miRNA from 2 species